rnacentral:lncRNA from 1 species
ACCGUGCUUUGAUACCAACUGUCACGACGUUUCCUCAAGUCAUCAAGCAUCGUGCCGGUCCGCUGCAGCAGAGUCAUCCUUCCCUUUACACUUAGCCACUUGACCCCGGCCAUUUGAAAGAGCACACACACAUCAAAGGCAACCCACCAUCCGUGACCAGUAGGAUUACUUUAUUCAAUCAAGAAAGGCUGUCUUUCGGUCGUCUACGUUAACUGAUAGCUGCUUGUUUUGUUCUAUUACCUAAGGCCUUCUUCAUUCGCUUGGAAUAGCAUCCGGAUCUGUGACAAAGAGAAUGACGGCUAAACCUCCUUGAUUCCUUGAAGAAGGUAUCAGUCUAUC